UCAGGCGACUGGAUGAGCGCACCUAUCUGGGUGAGGAAAGUCCGGGCUCCGUGAGACAAGGGUGCCGUGUAACGCGCGGCGAAGGCGACUUCAGGGAAAGUGCCACAGAAAAGAACCGCCAAUGGUCAAACAUCGGUAAGGGUGAAAAGGUGCGGUAAGAGCGCACCGCAUCGCUGGUAACAGAGAUGGCAUAGGUAAACCCCACCCGGAGCAAGUCUAAAAGGAGCAUCAGCACAAGGAUGCCACGCAUCCUAUCGCUGGGGCAACGUCUCAAGCCUUAAUGCUCGGGUAAGACGCAACAAAGCACGUGCUCAUGCACAGCUUAAGAUAAAUGCUCAUCCCCGACAAAACCCGGCUUACAGGUCGCCUGACAAA
rnacentral:RNase_P_RNA from 1 species